ACCUUUUGGGUUAGGCCGGGGUAGGGAAAUGAGGUCUCGUCAGAUCUUCGUCCUUUCCAAAAUGAGGUUUACAUCCCUAAAGACUUCAUCCCUCACGCGGCGUUGCUCCGUCAGGCUUUCGCCCAUUGCGGAAAAUUCCUCACUGCUGCCUCCCGUAGGAGUCUGGGCCGUGUCUCAGUCCCAGUGUGGCUGUCCGUCCUCUCAGACCGGCUACCCAUCAAAGCCUUGGUGGGCCGUUACCUCACCAACUAGCUAAUAGGCCGCGGGCUCAUCCA
rnacentral:rRNA from 1 species